UUCCGCAGGUUCACCUACGGAAGGAUCAUUG
rnacentral:rRNA from 1 species